rnacentral:rRNA from 1 species
UACGGAAGGCAGCAGUAGGGAAUCUUCCGCAAUGGACGAAAGUCUGACGGAGCAACGCCGCGUGAACGAUGAAGGCUUUCGGGUCGUAAAGUUCUGUUGUUAGGGAAGAACAAGUACCAGAGUAACUGCUGGUACCUUGACGGUACCUAACCAGAAAGCCACGGCUAACUACGUGCCAGCAGCCGCGGUAAUACGUAGGUGGCAAGCGUUGUCCGGAAUUAUUGGGCGUAAAGCGCGCGCAGGUGGUCCUUUAAGUCUGAUGUGAAAGCCCACGGCUCAACCGUGGAGGGUCAUUGGAAACUGGGGACUUGAGUGCAGAAGAGGAAAGUGGAAUUCCACGUGUAGCGGUGAAAUGCGUAGAGAUGUGGAGGAACACCAGUGGCGAAGGCGACUUUUCUGGUCUGUAAACUGACACUGAGGCGCGAAAGCGUGGGGAGCGAACAGGGAUUAGAUACC